UAAACCGUAAGGUGAUGUAUAGGGGCUGACGCCUGCCCGGUGCUGGAAGGUUAAGAGGAGUGGUUAGCUUCUGCGAAGCUACGAAUCGAAGCCCCAGUAAACGGCGGCCGUAACUAUAACGGUCCUAAGGUAGCGAAAUUCCUUGUCGGGUAAGUUCCGACCUGCACGAAUGGCGUAACGACUUCUCUGCUGUCUCAACCACGAACUCGGCGAAAUUGCAUUACGAGUAAAGAUGCUCGUUACGCGCGGCAGGACGAAAAGACCCCGGGACCUUCACUAUAGCUUGGUAUUGGUGUUUGGUUCGGUUUGUGUAGGAUAGGUGGGAGACUGUGAAGCUCAUGCGCUAGUGUGGGUGGAGUCGUUGUUGAAAUACCACUCUGGUUAUAGCGUGUGCCUAAACCUUGGCCCGUGAUCCGGGUUAGGGACAGUGCCUGGUGGGUAGUUUAACUGGGG
rnacentral:rRNA from 1 species